CUGUCGCGGGACCUCGUGUGCUGCGUCUACGAGGUCCGCUGUCUAACCAUUGCUCUGCCCCCCGCCCCUCCCAUCCCCCUCUCCUUAGUCACUUUGAGGCUGUUCGUAUCGCUUCUCUCACGCUUCCGUCCAUUUCCCUGUAAUCGCGACCCAACAUGCUGAGCAGCAGCAGCAGCAGCACCGGUGCUGCUGCUGCCGCUGCCGCGAAGCCGAGCGCAGGCCCGCUCAGUGUCGCCCUUGCCACUGUGACAGUGAACGAAGAUCCGAACAUCGAGGUGCUGUUGGCGAGCAAGCGCAUCCAAAAGCUGACGCGGGCCACCGACGCCCUCAUUGCCCGUGACUUUGUCCUUCGCGAGGAGGCAGCCAUUUUAGACGACCUUGAGGCCUACAUCAUCUCCCUCGAGAGCGAAGUGAGGAAGGCUGAGUUCCAGACCGAGGAGCUCCGCAGCAGGAGCUCCCUGCUGCGGCCCGGCAAGCGGUGCGCCAUCGCCGGCGAGAACGCGGAGUUGUCCGCGCUUUGGAACGAGUACGGCAGCGACAUGGGGCAUCUCGUGAAGCGACACUCGCUUCGGCUCGCAGUGCUGGAGAAGGCACUCGCCACCGUGUCGACUAGAAAUCCAGAGUCGCCAGUGACGAAGCCACUACCGCCGCCGCCAGUGACAAAGACAUCGAAAGCGAUGCCGGCUAUGCGGGAUAUGUCCCAGAGACAGAAAGCGCACUCGUGAAGCGGCGUCACUGAAGUAAACAGAGGGCAGUGCCCUGAUGAGGGUGAAGCGGCCCACGGCGCGAUGCGUCGCAGGCGCGUCCGCUUCUGCUUCUGCGGUGGCUGCUGUAGGGGUCUCUGUGCGCCUCUUUGUAUGGGUUUCGCACUCUGGCGUUUUCCCCGCUGCACGCAACGCCAUUUUUGAUCGCCCGCCAAGGAAUCGAAAGAGAGUGAGCCCAAAGAACACAACCCUCCAAUCAUCACGCGCACCGCGAUAUACGCGUGAGUAAGGGCCGUCCCGUCCCGGUCCUCCCUCACCACGCGCUGUGUUCCACACGUCCGCCGCAGCCCUUUUUCGUGAACCCCAUGAAGGCACCAAGCUGGACCCUCAAGCCGCCAAACGUACACGUACAAGGACUGGGGCACCUAAAGCGGUGCGGUGAUUCAUUCGUCUCUGUCCUUUCGCUAAGCGCCGUCUCUCCGCUUGGCCCUCUCCCACACUCGGUGUGUUCGUAUGCGCGUGUGUGUCUGACGCUCAUCCACUGGGUCAUCCGCUCCCUCGCCGAUAGCUCUCCCGUCUGUCCCUGGAAUCGACAGGACACACACACAUUCACACGGAGAAAGGAAAAGUGAUUGAAGGCAGAGCGUUAUCGUUGAAGCUGGCAUCCUGCACAGCAGGAGGCGUUCUAGGAGAGACAGACGUGCGACUGUGCAAACGCCUGCCUGCUUUUUCGCCCUCUUUUGUGUGUGUGUGCGUGCACCUGUGUGGGCAACUCACCAUGCAGCUCUGCUUACUCCCCCAUUCUUAUUGGAUCUCUUAACCCACGAGCUGCUCGCAUCUUCGAAG
rnacentral:misc_RNA from 1 species